UAAAAGUGCAGAUAUCCUUAUGGUUUACUUAGGUCUGAAGCACAGGAAAAUCUGUAGAAAUACUUAUGUUGUCUUUGGAAGACUUACAAGGACACAUAAAAUAUUUCUCCUGUAAAAACCACUCAUGUUUUAUCAAUAUUACAUUAUGCACUUCCCACUGUUGGUGUGCCUUGGUCUCAGAUUAGUUCAUUGUUCUCACCUGCAAAAUGACACACACACACAUACUCCAGGUGAAGCCAAGUUCCUAGCUUAACAAGCCAGUACAACACAGAGGAUAAAAUCUGAAGGAAGAAGCAAAAGCUUUUUUUAGACUGUGGAAGAUGAGUGUAUUUUCAUUUAGGCUGCCAGAAAAAGAAUGUGCUCUUUGGACAAUGUCUGGCUAAAUUGGGGUGCAGUUAUGGUGUGUGAGGUUUUUGUACCCAGCUGCUGCUGGUGUACUUCAGCUGCAAUGCUGCCUUCCUGCAAGUUGUGCUCUCCUGACCAUGCUGAGUCUAGAGGUUUGCCUGAAGGAGGGGAAGUGACAGGGUUACAGGAACUGGAAGUCAGACCUAGAAAAGCCCUUCACCAGCAGCCUUUCUGGUGCUGCCUCCAGCCCAGCUCUCAGCAAGGCAUCGCUAUCUCCACAGCCGCCUUCAGAGCCUCUCAACGGAUCUGUCACACCUUUUGGGGGAAAUCUUGUCAUAUGGCUGCUUUUCCUCAGGAGAUGGCUUCUUUCUUGAGGGUCUUGCGAAUAAGGAGUAGGAUACAUCAAGCCUGAUUCCACUGGAGCAUCUGUCUGAGGAGCCUUUCCUACUCUCUUGCAAAUCUUUCCUUGGAGUCCAGGGUUGUCACAAUGUCAAAGGCUCCUCUUGUUUCCAAAGUGUAAAUUCCACAUUCCUCCAAACCUUGUGCUCUAUGGAAAGUGGUGUUGUAUAGAUUUGUUUCUGUUCUAGAAGUAUCUGUGUGCAGACAUGUUGUUCAUCCUACUUAUUAAAAAAAUAAAAAUAAAAAAUGUUGCA
rnacentral:lncRNA from 1 species